ACCUUUUAAAAAAAAUCUUUUAAAAUCUCUUGUAAAUCUUUUAAAACCCGUUUAAAAUCCCUUUUAAAUCUAUUUCCCGCCAAUUUGUUUUUUUGCUGGUAAAAUGUUUUUGAAAAAACAAAUUUGGCGGGAAUUUUGUUUUUGAAAACUUUUUGGCGGAUAAUUGUUUUUCGAAAUUUUUUGACGGGAAAAUAUUUUGACGGGAAAAUUUUGGUGGGAAAUUUAUUUUCGAUUAUUUUGGGUGAAAAAAUAUUAAUAUUUCAUUAUGUUAACCUAAAUUUUUUUCCAAAUAGGGGUUAAAUGGUCAUUAAAAAUUUAAAGAGGGUAUAAAUGAAAAUGGCAAAGAGAAAAUGGUAGAAUUGAAAAGGAGUAGUGUGAAAAGGGCAUUUUCAGCAAUUAUUAUAAACUUUUUGGUAACAUAU
rnacentral:sRNA from 1 species